UCCAACACACAACCGCACAAGCACUCUACCUCCAUUGCCAAAACCGCGGCUCCACCUCCACUUUUCUUCACAAUCCAACUUCUCACCUCAGCUCCACAACACCAUUUCCCUUUCGGAUCAGCAGCUGGAGCAAGGUAGGAGAGCUGAAAUCCGCAAGCUACACCCAGUUUUCCAGCCGCAACAACCACCACAGCUCCACCAUCUGCUCAGCCAAGACAACCCCAAACCAGUCGCGAGCCUAGGGAAAUAAUUCUGCCCAGAUUUGUUCGUGCGUGAACGGAGCAUUAGCAGAGGGUAUCGUGAGGAAGUGGAACUCGAAUCCCAAUUUGACAUCUGAACUUCACUCUUGGUCUUGAAGUUUGAGAAAUCUGAGCAGUGCUGAUUUCUUUUAAUUUGUACUUGAAUCUUAAGACUGCAGUUUACCGUUGUAUUGUAUUGUGAAUUGAAAAACGUAUUGGUUAUUUUGGAUUGCCACUUGAAGCUGGAAAAUGUUUAAACCCUAAUUAUUAUGUUUGGCUUGUAUGGUUGUAAUCGUGGUGUGUGACAGUAUAUAUCCGGA